rnacentral:rRNA from 1 species
UACGUAGGGGGCAAGCGUUGUCCGGAUUUAUUGGGCGUAAAGAGCGUGUAGGCGGCCACACAGGUCUGCUGUGAAAACUCGAGGCUCAACCUCGAGCUGUCGGUGGAAACCGUGUGGCUAGAGUCCGGAAGAGGAGAGUGGAAUUCCUGGUGUAGCGGUGAAAUGCGCAGAUAUCAGGAAGAACACCAAUGGCGAAGGCAGCUCUCUGGGACGGUACUGACACUGAGACGCGAAAGCGUGGGGAGCGAACAGG